AAAUUGAAGAGUUUGAUCAUGGCUCAGAUUGAACGCUGGCGGCAGGCCUAACACAUGCAAGUCGAACGGUAACAGGAAGAAGCUUGCUUCUUUGCUGACGAGUGGCGGACGGGUGAGUAAUGUCUGGGAAACUGCCUGAUGGAGGGGGAUAACUACUGGAAACGGU
rnacentral:rRNA from 2 species